rnacentral:rRNA from 1 species
AGAGCGAACGCUGGCGGCAGGCCUAAUACAUGCAAGUCGAACGGACCCUUCGGGGUUAGUGGCGGACGGGUGAGUAACACGUGGGAACGUGCCCUUUGGUUCGGAACAACUCAGGGAAACUUGAGCUAAUACCGGAUGUGCCCUUCGGGGGAAAGAUUUAUCGCCAUUGGAGCGGCCCGCGUCUGAUUAGCUAGUUGGUGGGGUAAAGGCCCACCAAGGCUACGAUCAGUAGCUGGUCUGAGAGGAUGAUCAGCCACACUGGGACUGAGACACGGCCCAGACUCCUACGGGAGGCAGCAGUAGGGAAUCUUGCGCAAUGGGCGAAAGCCUGACGCAGCCAUGCCGCGUGAAUGAUGAAGGUCUUAGGAUUGUAAAAUUCUUUCAGCGGGGACGAUAAUGACGGUACCCGCAGAAGACGCCCCGGCUAACUUCGUGCCAGCAGCCGC